rnacentral:rRNA from 1 species
ACUCCUACGGGAGGCAGCAGUGGGGAAUCUUGAGCAAUGGGCGAAAGCCUGACGCAGCCAUGCCGCGUGAAUGAUGAAGGUCUUAGGAUUGUAAAAUUCUUUCACCGGGGACGAUAAUGACGGUACCCGGAGAAGAAGCCCCGGCUAACUUCGUGCCAGCAGCCGCGGUAAUACGAAGGGGGCUAGCGUUGCUCGGAAUUACUGGGCGUAAAGGGAGCGUAGGCGGACAUUUAAGUCAGGGGUGAAAUCCCGGGGCUCAACCUCGGAAUUGCCUUUGAUACUGGGUGUCUUGAGUAUGAGAGAGGUGUGUGGAGCUCCGAGUGUAGAGGUGAAAUUCGUAGAUAUUCGGAAGAACACCAGUGGCGAAGGCGACACACUGGCUCAUUACUGACGCUGAGGCUCGAAAGCGUGGGGAGCAAACAGGAUUAGAAACCCCUGUAGUCCCAUGAU